AAACUUUCAACAACGGAUCUCUUGGUUCUGGCAUCGAUGAAGAACGCAGCGAAAUGCGAUAAGUAAUGUGAAUUGCAGAAUUCAGUGAAUCAUCGAAUCUUUGAACGCACAUUGCGCCCCUUGGUAUUCCGGGGGGCAUGCCAUGUUCGAGCGUCAUU
rnacentral:rRNA from 1 species